AUAUUCUAAAGUAGUACUCCGCAAAUUGCACAAGCUAUGCCAAUACUAAUUGAAAAGGCCUGAAAGGUGGCUCUCUGCAAAGCCCGUGCCGCACACGAUUGAACAAACGGCAGGCAAGAGAAGUUUUCAACGAUGUUGUUGAUGAAUCGCGUCAAGAACUAAAGGUUGAAAGAAAGAGAGACGUAGGGAGUCAAGAUGAAAUUAUUGAACGGUUCUUUGCAAUGAAGAAAUAGAAGCCACUUCAAUAAGAGACUGUAGAAAUAAAAUAAUUUUAAAGAAAAUCGUAGAAGCGUAUAUGAUCACCGAAUUAAAACUCUCAAAAUUUUCGAGAGAUAAUGCAAUUGAUUUACACAAAUUAGAUCGUGAUGUUAGAUCGCGCUUUUCAAUGUUAUCUGAAUGUUCAUACCUACAUAAGAGUAAUGUCAUCAAUUAAGCAGUUGUAAGUAGCAAUUGCAAUUUAGCUUUUCAGGGCAAAAGCUUAGCUUUUUUGCCUUGUCUCUUCAAAUGUGAAAAAUCUCAACAUUUUUCCGCAAGCUUUCAUCAGUUUCCUCAUUUAUAAUAUAAAAAGCGAAGCAUAUUUCUGGACAGGAAACGAAAUUGCCUUGUCUCAUGAAAUGUUUCCGACUCUAAAGUUAUCGUAAUUAUACUGUAGGCAUAUAAUCCUGAUAUGUUAAGCAUUUUAAUGACAUGUGUUUUUAGUGAUUAUGACAGCAUUUGGUCAAAUCUUUGUGCAACCAUUUGCUGGAAGGUUUUGUUCACACAAAGACAUUUGAAAAUAAAAUGAUUUAAUUC
rnacentral:lncRNA from 1 species